UCUUUUUGUGUCUUCAUCUACAACUUUUUAAUCUUUUGCCAAUUUCGCAAACAAGACUAAAAAGAAAACCCUAAUACACCUUAUCUCUUUUCUUCUUUCUUUUUACUGCUUUGAGUGUUUUAAUUAUAAGUUUGAAAUGUAAAGGAAGGAUUUUGCUUGUUGUUUGAAGGUGAGAGAAGGAAGCCAUGGAAGGGGAUGAGGUUGCUCUGGCGUGUUUGAUUUCUAGGAUCCUUUUUGCAAUUUUGGGUUUAGUUUCAUUUUCCAUUCUCUGGGCCGUCAAUUGGCGCCCAUGGCGGAUUUAUAGUUUAUUUGGAAACAGGUUUUGAUUUUUUGAAUUUAAUUGUAUCUUGGAGCAUGCUGUUGGCGGCAGCAUUUAUGGAGCAAGUUAUUAAAGUGGCACAUACCAGGAAGAAGCAACAGAAAUGAGGAGGACUGAACUGGACCUUACUCUGGAACCUAUUUACUCAUGCCAUUUGGGAUGCUUUGCUGCAUGAAAAUGGGUUCCACUAGGGCAAGAUGCUUCUGAUGUGAAUAAUAAAUUGUUAGAAAUAAUUUGUCCUUAUGUGGCCAAGCUUUAUGCAAAUGGACUUAUCCAGAACAGGGACUAUCAGGCUGUAUAGUUCUACAUAUGUUAUAAUUCUUGGUUCUUUCUGAAAAUUCAUCAUUUCUGCAUCUUUGCUUAUUCAGCUUUUAAGUCUAAGCCUUUUCAUGGGUGUACUUGUUGCUUGUUAGAACUUUAGAAUCUUUCAGCGUGCUGCUAAAUGGGAAAAAAAAAGGCAAUAACUGCAUUGCUAUGAAAAUUUAAUCUAAUAUAAAAAAGUUCAUUAUUCACUUUAUGUGGUAGCAUUUCUUAAGAAACAAUUUGGGAGUAGAAGCAAGGCAAAAUAGUUGAUGCUAAAUAAUUUCGUAAAACAUCUAUGGUUCUCAGAGCUGAAUAUGGUUGGAUUCUUUUUAUUGCAUUGCUCGGAUAUAAUUUUGAGAAUUUUCUGCAAUUUCUGUUCUUUCCUGAAUUUAAAAGCUCAUUGUCUAUAUCUAUUUUAACUCAUUUAUGAAUGCAAACAUAAUCCUAUUUUAACUAAGGAAAGUAUAAACUAAGUUUCAUAUCACACAAGCUACUAGUUUCAUAUUAAGCCUUCAUGUCUAAGGAAACAAUUUUUAUUUUUUUAACAGUUUUUAACAGUAUUUUUUAGAAAUAUGGUAUACUUGGAUCUGGAGAUGUUUCACUACCUGAGGCUACCCUUGUAGAAAUAAGAGAUCAGCAGAGUGUCUUGGAAUUGAAGUUGGAAUUUCAUACGGUAUUAACUGUUAUGUAGUAUAACAUCAAUAUCAAUGUUCAUCGUCUUAGGAACUUUUUUAUUUUUUUACUUUUGUACAUUGGGUUGAAUGUUGGUGGUAUACAUUUCGGCUAAAUGUUAGUGUAUUUUAAUUUUGGAUCAAUUUUUGUAAUGAAUAUUCAACCUUUAUUUUAAUUUUAAUUUAAUAUUUUGUAGUUGUAUUUAAA